rnacentral:rRNA from 1 species
GUCGAGGAUCAUUCGCAAUGGGCGAAAGCCUGACGAUGCGACGCUGCGUGGAGGAUGAAGGCCUUCGGGUUGUAAACUCCUGUCAUUCGGGAACAAUCGCGCGCGGGCCAACACCCCGCGCGCCUGAUGGUACCGGAAGAGGAAGCCACUGCUAACUCUGUGCCAGCAGCAGCGGUAAUACAGAGGCGGCGAGCGUUGUUCGGAUUUACUGGGCGUAAAGGGCGCGUAGGUGGCCCCGCGUGUCGGAUGUGAAAUCUCACGGCUCAACUGUGAAACUGCAUUCGAAACUGCGGGGCUUGAGUGCGGGAAAGGAGAGCGGAAUUCUUGGUGUAGCGGUGGAAUGCGUUGAUAUCAAGAAGAACACCGGUGGCGAAGGCGGCUCUCUGGAACGCAACUGACACUGAGGCACGAAAGUUGGGGGAGCAAACAGGAUUAGAAACCCGUGUAGUCC